GCCCAGGUAGCUCAGUGGGAGAGCGCUGCCCUGAAGAGGCAGUUGUCCCCGGUUCGAAUCCGGGUCUGGGCACCA
rnacentral:tRNA from 48 species